AUGGCGGCAGGCCCAAGCGGCAUUCUUGUCUUGGAUUUGACGACGUCGAGUUUCUCCACGCUUCAGCUUCCACAAGGAGUGGCGCAUGGCAGCGGAGGCACCACCAUAUUGUCACGGGCUGGUGAUGCUUCUGGUGUAUAUCUCAUCCAUGUUAAGGUGUUUCAACUCCGCGUCUGGUUCCACAUGGGGGACAACUGGUUGCCGGUCGAUAGCAUCUGUCUACAUGAAAUGUGUGCUAAUUUGAGGAAGUCGGAUUCCACAAUCAAGGAUGGGCAUACUGUUCUUCUCAUGGACCAGGUGGUGGACUAUGGUGGUUUUGUGUUCUUGCAGAUGGGUGGAUGCGUACUGCACUUGGAUAUCAGGUGCAGGACAUUGUGUAAAGUGUAUGAAUACAAAAGCACUCGUUACCGUGAUAUCCAUCCUUUUAUGAUGAUCUGGCCUCCCAUAUUCCCCACGGUCAAGUAUGAUCCUGCAAGAUAUAUCACAAUGAAAAAUAUCCUUCCAGUACAUAAUACUCCCUCCGUUUCUAAAUAUAAGUCUUUUUAG
rnacentral:rRNA from 1 species